rnacentral:rRNA from 1 species
AUCUGCCCUGGGUGAGUCGGGACCUAAGGCGAGGCCGACAGGCGUAGUCGAUGGAUAACCAGUUGAUAUUCUGGUACCGGCUUGUCACCGUCCGUGUCGAGGUGUGUGAUGCUAAGCGUGCGAGCCUGCCUCCGCGGCAUCGUUGAUGUGGUGGUGGUGUGGUGAGUGUGUGAACCGAUCAUGUAGUAGGCAAGCUGCGGAGGGACGCAGGGAGGUAGCUCAUCCCCGGCGAUGGUUGUCCGGGGCUAAAUGUGUGGACCGUCUGGUAGGUAAAUCCGCCAGGGUUGUGGUUGAGGCAUGAUGGCGAGCCCACAGAAAGUGGGUGAGUGAGUGAUCCUGUACUGUCGAGAAAAUCUUCGUGAGCGAGGUGGCUGGUCCGCCCGUACCCUAAACCGACACUGGUGGAUAGGUAGAGUAUACCGAGGCGAUCGAGAUCAUCAUGGUGAAGGAACUCGGCAAAAUGCCCCCGUAACUUCGGGAUAAGGGGGACCUGAACUGUCAAGGCUUUUACAGCUGGUAGCGGUGAGGGGCGCAGAGACCAGGGGGAAACGACUGUUUACCAAAAACACAGGUCCGUGCGAAGUCGUAAGACGAUGUAUACGGACUGACUCCUGCCCGGUGCUGGAAGGUUAAGGGGAACUGUUAGCGUUGGCGAAGCGGUGAACUUAAGCCCCAGUAAACGGCGGUGGUAACUAUAACCAUCCUAAGGUAGCGAAAUUCCUUGUCGGGUAAGUUCCGACCUGCACGAAUGGAGUAACGAUUUCCCUACUGUCUCCACCAUGAACUCGGUGAAAUUGCAUUACGAGUAAAGAUGCUCGUUACGCGCAGCAGGACGGAAAGACCCCGGGACCUUUACUAUAGUUUGGUAUUGGUGAUUGGGACGACUUGUGUAGGAUAGGUGGGAGACUGUGAAACGGCCACGCCAGUGGUUGUGGAGUCAUUGUUGAAAUACCACUCUGGUCGUUCUGGUUAUCUAACUUUGGGCCGUGAUCCGGUUCAGGGACAGUGCCUGAUGGGUAGUUUGACUGGGGCGGUCGCCUCCUAAAAGGUAACGGAGGCGCCCAAAGGUUCCCUCAUCCUGGUUGGUAAUCAGGUGUCGAGUGUAAGUGCACAAGGGGGCUUGACUGUGAGACUGACAGGUCGAGCAGGGACGAAAGUCGGGACUAGUGAUCUGACGGUGGCUUGUGGACGCGCCGUCACUCAACGGAUAAAAGGUACCCCGGGGAUAACAGGCUGAUCUUGCCCGA